rnacentral:lncRNA from 1 species
AUGUCACCCGCUGCGUUUCACGGAGCUCGCAGGCUCCUGUUAAGACCCCAGGAGGCCCUGCAGAGGCCUUGGGCCCUCUCCGAGUGUGGGGCUGCUUUCGAAGCUGCCAGAGUUGGCUCCUGGCAGGUGUACAGCUGCAGCGAGGGUGCCGGGAAGGAGGGAGGGGCUCGGGGGGAGCUUGGAGGGUGCUACAGACCUCCCGGCCUGCUUCACGGAGAUGGUGGCGGCAGUGACAGCAGAGCCUGUGGGGCCAGCGGGACCCGGCUGGUGUCAGAGGCCUCUCUGCGGCAUCCAAAGGCAGAGCCCCGGCUCCUGACCCCCUCGGACCCCGUCAGCUGUUUUUUCAAAAAAGCAAGACAACAAAUGGAGCCAAUCAGAAAGCGAAUCCCAGGCCGGAAAGCCUCUAGGGUGGCCCUGGACGGGCCUGGGCUGGGCGCGUGGUGUCGGGGCGCCCUGCGGACCUGGGAGCGGCUGGGGGGCCUCGACGCGGACCCCUGCCCUGGAGAAGCCGGAGGGGGGGGCCACGCCUGCUGGGAGGUCUGCUCAUCCUACAGGGUGCCCCAGAGGCAUCGGGGCGGCGCCCCCAACCGCAGCCGGAGGGCAGGGCGGGGACGCUGCCAGCUGCUCGCCAGGAGCUCCAGGGCCUCUGCCCACGGGCCAGCAAGGCCGCUGCUCCCCCGGGAGGGGCGAUGGCCGGGGGCGGCGCGGAGCCAGCUCACAAGGGGGACCCCCGUCGAAAUGCGGGUUCCUGGUCCCCGGGGCCUCGGCAGCAGCACGGCCGGGCCGCUGGCUUCCGACAAGCCGUCAGUGGCUUUGUGCACACUCCGGUUUGAGAGCAACCUCCCGAGACGGCCCGCUGCGGGGUCAAAGGUCACGGAUGAAUCAAUCCUAUCGACUUUCAUUGCCCAAGGAGUCGGAGGGCCCGGCCGCCUCCCGGGACCCCGGCAGCACCAGGAGCAUUCGGUCUCAUUCGGGGCCCAUCCCGCGGGGCUCCCGGUGCCCGCUGUCUCGGGACCGAGCAGUAGAGAAGGAGGCAGACAAAGGUCUGUCCCCCGCGGCCUCCGCCCCAGGGUGACGCUGGCUGCCGUUCAGGUAACACGUGAAUUACAAAUACUGUCACCCUGUGACCACCUGUGA